rnacentral:misc_RNA from 1 species
UUUCCGUAGGUGAACCUGCGGAAGGAUCAUUAAAGAAUCGCCCCGUUUUUUGAAAUGGGUUCUAUUCCCAAACCGUGUAUACAUACCUUUGUUGCUUUGGCAGGCCGCCUUUUAGGCGUCGGCUCCGGUUGACUGCGCCUGCCAGAGGACCCAAACUCGUUUGUUUAGUGAUGUCUGAGUACUAUAUAAUAGUUAAAACUUUCAACAACGGAUCUCUUGGUUCUGGCAUCGAUGAAGAACGCAGC